rnacentral:rRNA from 1 species
ACUCGUAAAGAGGAUUUCCUAGUGGCGAACGGGUGAGUAACGCGUUGGUGACCUGCCCCAAAGAGAGGAAUAACAGUUCGAAAGAACUGCUAAUACCUCAUGUGGUCAUGAGACUUAGAACCUCAUGUCUAAAGGAGUAAUCCACUUUGGGAGGGGCCUGCGUCCCAUCAGCUAGUUGGUAGGGUAACGGCCUACCAAGGCAACGACGGGUAGGGGACCUGAGAGGGUGGCCCCCCACACUGGAACUGAAACACGGUCCAGACACCUACGGGUGGCAGCAGUAGGGAAUAUUGCACAAUGGGCGAAAGCCUGAUGCAGCAACGCCGCGUGUGCGAUGAAGGCCUUCGGGUCGUAAAGCACUUUUUGGGAGGAUGAGAAAGGACAGUACUCCCAGAAUAAGUCUCGGCUAACUAUGUGCCAGCAGCCGCGGUAAUACAUAGGAGGCGAGCGUUAUCCGGAUUUACUGGGCGUAAAGCGCGUGCAGGUGGUUUAGUAAGUUGGAUGUGAAAUCUCCCGGCUCAACUGGGAUAGGUCGUUCAAAACUGCUAGACUAGAGGACGGUAGAGGAAGGUGGAAUUCCCGGUGUAGUGGUGAAAUGCGUAGAUAUCGGGAGGAACACCAGUGGCGAAAGCGGCCUUCUGGCCCGUUCCUGACACUAAGACGCCAAAGCUAUGGUAGCAAACAGGAUUAGAGACCCUGGUAGUCCUAGCCGUAAACGAUGUCAACUAUGCGUUGGUGGGUUAAUAGCCAUCAUUGCCGCAGCUAACGCGAUAAGUUGACCGCCUGGGGACUACGAUCGCAAGAUUAAAACUCAAAGGAAUUGACGGGGCCCCGCACAAUCAGCGGAGCGUGUGGUUUAAUUCGAUGCAACGCGAAGAACCUUACCUGGUCUUGACAUCUCAAGGAUCUCCUGGAAACAGGAGAGUGCUUUCUUUCGAGAGAACUUGAAGACAGGUGCUGCAUGGCUGUCAUCACCUCGUGUCUUGAGAUGUUGGGUUAAGUCCCGCAACGAGCGCAACCCUCGCCAUUAGUUGCCAUCAUUUAGUUGGGCACUCUAAUGGGACUGCCGGGUCAAACCGGAGGAAGGUGGGGAUGACGUCAAGUCCUCAUGGCCUUUAUGACCAGGGCUACACACGUACUACAAUGGCCGGUACAAAGGGCAGCCACAGGGCAACCUGGAGCAAAUCCCUUAAGCCGGUCU